UGAUUAAGGAGGGUAUUUCGGGGAGUGAGGCUGUGCGGAAGAUCACGCUGUGCCCUAUGGUGCUGUCAGCAGUGACAGUUCCCAGAUGGGGCCGCUACUGUAUGGCAGAUUGAGUUUCUCAGCAGAAAGCUCACCCUGCCUCCUAAACGUCUUCAAAACCUUCUCCAGAUACACCAGGUCGCUUCGUGUGAAACCGAAACAGUCCAGCCUCAGUGUUGGUUUUGGUGCUUUAUGUUAGGGGUGGGUUUUUUGUUUGGGGGGGGGGGUUGUUUGUUUUUCAGCCUUCUUUUUCUCGCCACUUCCUCCUCCUCUGAGCAUCUUCGACUGCAGGCCUACCCGGCUUCUAAAUGCGUAGAUGUGGCGGGCCUGGGGGGAUCCUGUGCGCCUCGCUCACGGCGCCACGCUGCCGAAGACUCAGAACCGAGGGUCCCCAAGGCAAUCCGGUUUCCACUUCCUCUUUACUGCUCGAGGAAUCUCACUUCCCAGGCUUCUCCCCAAGAAGCGCCUGGGCAUGAGAGGUCCACUGAGAAGGCCGGAAGCCCCGAGUUCCAACGCAACCCUAGGCGACCCGGGUUAGCCGGCGACCCGGGUUAGCCGCCGGCCCGGGUCGGAGCCGGCUCCAGCGGACGGACGGAACGGAGUACCGGGAGGAAGAAGUGAGCUCACCGGGCAAGGAAAGCAGGAGGCUCGGCCUGGCCGCCGCGGCCCUGGGCGCCGAGCUCUGAGGCGCAAAACCUGGAGGAGAAGCUGUGCGCCCAGGUCCUCCGCGGCCGCCCUCCGAAGAGGCCGCCCAGCCCGACUCCAGCCAUUCUCACAGCUCCCUCAGAAGGGGAGCGCCAGGCGCGACCUGCAGGUUCCGGCCUGGAAGACUGAGGCUGGAGUCCCAGGGUGCGCGCUGGCUGCGUUCUGGCCGAGGCGGCCUUCGAGUCGCCAGGCUUCCCAUCCUCCCUCCGCGUACGCGUUUCUUUCUGAGCCUCUCGCACCCGUGCAUGCUCUCUCUCUCUCUCUCUCUCUCUCUCUCUCUCUCUCUCUCUCUCUCUCUCUCUCAGGCUCUGGAAAAAACCAGGUCCUGCACCUGUAAUUUGCGAUUAGAAGUUUAUUUCCAUGUGAA